ensembl:snRNA U6 U6 spliceosomal RNA
GUGCCCAGUUCAGCAGCACAUAUACUAAAAUUGGAAUAACACAGAUUAGCAAGACCCCAUGCAUGCAUAGUUGUAUAUUCAUGAAGCAUUGCAUAUUUUU